AUGCCUCUGGUGGAGAGAUACUCUAACAAGAUGAAGGGUUGGAAACCAAAGCUCUUGCCGGCUGCGGGGCGGCUCACUCUUGUCAAUUCGGUGCUUAUGGCGUUGCCCAUCCAUCUAAUGGCAGUGCUACCAUUGCCUGUAUGGGCUAUCAAGAUCAUUAAUAGGAAGUGUCGAGGCUUCAUUUGGAAGGGAGAGGAAGAAGUGAGUGGAGGGCAUUGCCUAGUCCCCUGGAGAUAG
rnacentral:rRNA from 1 species